rnacentral:lncRNA from 10 species
GGAAGCUCCUUUCAGAUAGAGACAAGGGAUAUUUGACUUCUUAUCUCUGUUGUCCAGCACAAUGUCCAGAACACAACAGAUAUUCCAUAUGCACAGUCACAUGCUAUGUAUGUGUAUUUUCUUUCCAGAAAGGACUAGAGGUCCUAAGCUUUGUUAAUAUCAUGAGCCAGUGCCCACAUGAGCAGGAGAAUUUUAGCACAGUCACCUACACACUCAUUUCGAUGCUCUGACCCCUUAUCCAAGCCAGUCAAAGUGUGGUCUAUGGUUUUGCAUUUUAAAGAGAUCCCUGGGUGAAUCUUGUGCAUGUUACAGGGAAGCACUGUCCUACAUCCUAUGUGACAGGCUCUCAUAGUCACCAUCAUCAUGGGAAUCUUGCACAUGUUACAGGGAAGCACUGUCCUACAUCAUAUGUGACAGGCUCUCAUAGUCACCAUCAUCACGGGAAUCUUGCACAUGUUACAGGGAAGCACUGUCCUACAUCGUAUGUGACAGGCUCUCAUAAUCACCAUCAUCAUGUGAUCUUGUGCAUGUUACAGGGAAGCACUGUUCUACAUCGUAUCUGACAGGGUCUCAGAGUCACCAUCAUCACGGGAAUCUUGUGCAUGUUACAGGGAAGCACAGUCCUACAUCGUAUCUGACAGGCUCUCAUAGUCACCAUCAUCACGGGAAGCUGCAUUUAGAGCAUUUAACUGUAUGGGCUCUGAAAUCAGAUGACUUAGGUUUGGGCUUGCCUCUACUUCUUACUAAGCAGAGAACUUUGGGGCAUGAUACUUAAUUUUACUAGGCUCAGUUUUAUCAUGUGUAAAUUGGAGGCAAGGGGAAAUUAUAGCAUUUUGCAUAGAAUAUUGUUUUAAGUAUGAA